rnacentral:rRNA from 1 species
AACGCGAAGAACCUUACCUACUCUUGACAUCCAGAGAACUUAGCAGAGAUGCUUUGGUGCCUUCGGGAACUCUGAGACAGGUGCUGCAUGGCUGUCGUCAGCUCGUGUUGUGAAAUGUUGGGUUAAGUCCCGCAACGAGCGCAACCCUUAUCUUUUGUUGCCAGCGGUUCGGCCGGGAACUCAAAGGAGACUGCCAGUGAUAAACUGGAGGAAGGUGGGGAUGACGUCAAGUCAUCAUGGCCCUUACGAGUAGGGCUACACACGUGCUACAAUGGCAUAUACAAAGAGAAGCGACCUCGCGAGAGCAAGCGGACCUCAUAAAGUAUGUCGUAGUCCGGAUUGGAGUCUGCAACUCGACUCCAUGAAGUCGGAAUCGCUAGUAAUCGUGGAUCAGAAUGCCACGGUGAAUACGUUCCCGGGUCUUGUACACACCG